AGAGUUUGAUCCUGGCUCAGGACGAACGCUGGCGGCGUGCUUAACACAUGCAAGUCGAGCGGUAAGGCCCUUCGGGGUACACGAGCGGCGAACGGGUGAGUAACACGUGAGCAACCUGCCCCUGACUCUGGGAUAAGCGGUGGAAACGCCGUCUAAUACCGGAUACGACCCGCCACCUCAUGGUGGAGGGUGGAAAGUUUUUCGGUCAGGGAUGGGCUCGCGGCCUAUCAGCUUGUUGGUGGGGUAACGGCCUACCAAGGCGAUUACGGAUAGCCGGCCUGAGAGGGCGACCGGCCACACUGGGACUGAGACACGGCCCAGACUCCUGCGGGAGGCAGCAGUGGGGAAUAUUGCGCAAUGGGCGAAAGCCUGACGCAGCGACGCCGCGUGGGGGAUGACGGCCUUCGGGUUGUAAACCUCUUUUACCACCAACGCAGGCUCGAAGUUCUCUUCGGGUUGACGGUAGGUGGGGAAUAAGGACCGGCUAACUACGUGCCAGCAGCCGCGGUAAUACGUAGGGUCCGAGCGUUGUCCGGAAUUAUUGGGCGUAAAGAGCUCGUAGGCGGCGUGUCACGUCUGCUGUGAAAGACCGGGGCUUAACUCCGGUUCUGCAGUGGAUACGGGCAUGCUAGAGGUAGGUAGGGGGAGACUGGAAUUCCUGGUGUAGCGGUGAAAUGCGCAGAUAUCAGGAGGAACACCGGUGGCGAAAGGCGGGUCUCUGGGCCUUACCUGACGCUGAGGAGCGAAAGCAUGGGGAGCGAAACAGGAUUAGAUACCCUGRUAGUCCAUGCCGUAAACGUUGGGCGCUAGGUGUGGGGACUUUCCACGGUUUCCGCGCCGUAGCUAACGCAUUAAGCGCCCCGCCUGGGGAGUACGGCCGCAAGGCUAAAACUCAAAGGAAUUGACGGGGGCCCGCACAAGCGGCGGAGCAUGUUGCUUAAUUCGACGCAACGCGAAGAACCUUACCAAGGUUUGACAUCACCCGUGGACUCGCAGAGAUGUGAGGUCAUUUAGUUGGCGGGUGACAGGUGGUGCAUGGCUGUCGUCAGCUCGUGUCGUGAGAUGUUGGGUUAAGUCCCGCAACGAGCGCAACCCUUGUUCCAUGUUGCCAGCACGUAAUGGUGGGGACUCAUGGGAGACUGCCGGGGUCAACUCGGAGGAAGGUGGGGAUGACGUCAAGUCAUCAUGCCCCUUAUGUCUUGGGCUGCAAACAUGCUACAAUGGCCGGUACAAUGGGCGUGCGAUACCGUAAGGUGGAGCGAAUCCCUAAAAGCCGGUCUCAGUUCGGAUUGGGGUCUGCAACUCGACCCCAUGAAGGUGGAGUCGCUAGUAAUCGCGGAUCAGCAACGCCGCGGUGAAUACGUUCCCGGGCCUUGUACACACCGCCCGUCACGUCAUGAAAGUCGGCAACACCCGAAACUUGCGGCCUAACCCCUUGUGGGAGGGAGUGAGUGAAGGUGGGGCUGGCGAUUGGGACGAAGUCGUAACAAGGUAACC
rnacentral:rRNA from 1 species